rnacentral:rRNA from 1 species
UACGGAGGGGGCUAGCGUUAUUCGGAAUUACUGGGCGUAAAGCGCACGUAGGCGGCUUUGUAAGUUAGAGGUGAAAGCCUGGAGCUCAACUCCAGAAUUGCCUUUAAGACUGCAUCGCUUGAAUCCAGGAGAGGUGAGUGGAAUUCCGAGUGUAGAGGUGAAAUUCGUAGAUAUUCGGAAGAACACCAGUGGCGAAGGCGGCUCACUGGACUGGUAUUGACGCUGAGGUGGCGAAAGCCGUG